AAUCAAAGCAAAGUUACACAUUAGUAAUGCAGAGCAGAGUACAGCACUAAAACAAUAUGUGCAGCCAACUUUAUUUCCUGCACGUUGCACUCGGAAUAAUCUUUUGAAGAAAUUAAAAAUUGCAGAUGACAGAUAAAUCAACAUGACACAGAGGCGAACAUUGAUGCCAGCCAGCAGUUUCACCUCCAACUUAGGUUUGAGGAUGAGAUGGAGAAUAUUCCUCAGGUGCCAUCCCCUAGGCCAGGGCCAUCAACCCACAAUGACCAGACAACAGCGGAUGCUGAAGUUGAAAAUGUAAUGGCAGAGGUGAAAAAAUCAACUAGGCUGCUCUAUCAGCAACAGAGUAGACAGCACAACAGAAGAAAUUACAGCACAAUUGGUGAAGUGCGUGAUGUUAUUUUCAAAAUACAUCAUGAUAAUAAAAAAACAUUCAUAAUGAAAAAAAAAUGUUAAGAUGUCAGCAAAGGAGAAAUGAGCUCCUUGAGAAGCAAAAUCAAAUUAUGGAUGACAUUGUGUCAAGAAUCAGCAAUACUGCUGAGUAAAUUUUAGCUAAGUUGCUAUGUGUUAUGUUGCAUUAUGUUGACAUUUUCUUUGAAAGUUAUUCUUUGACUGGAUUAUAAAAACCUUUACAAACAUUGUUCAUCAUUUAUUAAAUUAAAAUUUGCAAGUUCAAAAUUUCAAAAAA